UAUCUCGAUACAGCGAUAUAUCGCGAUAUUUUGCAACCCGAUGGGUUAUCGAUAUGCUCCCGCCAAGUAUCGAUACUUUUAUUUAACAUAUUGGCCAUACAAUGGAGUAUGGAUGCUGUAAACUGCUCAAUGUUUGUUGAGCAAUUCCUUGGCGGUCCACUAGGGGCGCUCGGGAGUGGCUGUGAGGGUAAAGUGCGCACAAGUUGUCUAGAGAAGAAGAGAGGCAGCUCCAAGGGGGUUGAAAAAAUAAAAAAGCCCCAUGAGAAGGGGGAGGAAAAAAUUAGAAAAAUAUUGCUACAAAUCACACAUGGGGACACAUUUUAGAUUUUACACCAACAAGAAAGGAAGUAAGGUGAACAAGGACUUUGCUGUAUGCAAGAAUUGUCUAAGAAAAAUAAGUUUCACUGGGAGCUGGUGACGUAGUGGAGACCGGAGUUUGUGAGCUUCGCUUUCAUCACUUGAGGUGAGGAAGACUGACUGAGCAAGUCUGACAUCUUAAAUGCUGAAGCAGAUGGCGGAAGUCCUCAAACCAAGCAACAAAGGAUGAAAUACAUCUGGCUACAUACAACUGUGGUGACACACAAACAUGUACUAUACCUCCCUGCCUCAAUUGUACCGCUAAACACCAGAGCAUCAGAUGAACCACCAUAUGAUCACCAAGCCUCCUUAAUAGGCUCAAGAUGCUGCACCAAAGAAAACAAGGGAAUGACUAAAUAAUUCAUAACCAACUCCACGGCACUGAAAGAUGGACUGAGAUGGCUUGUACACAGCUUUUACUGAUGUAGCAGAAGUGUUCCACUGCAAUGCAUUUGCUUCCCUCAUUUAUUGUUGUAAAAAUAAAAGAAAAGUAAGUUAUGUCUACCGCCCUGUCAUAUGAGAUGCUUGGAAAGGGUUUUAUUAUGCUGACAGUUUCACUUGGGAACAGAUUAUUGUUCAAUGUUCAUUAAAGUUGUUCUGUAC